rnacentral:rRNA from 1 species
UCAAGUUAUUAAGGGUGCAGGGCGGAUGCCUUGGCACUAGGAGCCGAUGAAGGACGUGAUAAGCUGCGAUAAGCUUCGGGGAGUUGCACGUAAACUUUGAUCCGAAGAUUUCCGAAUGAGGAAACUCACUUAGAGUAAUGUCUAAGUAUCAUUAAGUGAAUACAUAGCUUAAUGAGGGGAACUCAGGGAACUGAAACAUCUAAGUACCUGAAGGAAGAGAAAGAAAUUCGAUUCCGUAAGUAGCGGCGAGCGAACGCGGAUUAGCCCAAACCAAUAAAGUUUUCUUUAUUGGGGUUGCGGACAUAUCAUAACGAAGAGGUAUCGUAAUUGAAGAGGUUUGGAAAGACCCACCACAGAAGGUAAUAGUCCUGUAUGUUAAACGAGAAGACUUUAGAUAUGAUCCAGAGUACCACGGGACACGUGAAACCCUGUGGGAAGCAGGAGGGACCACCCUCCAAGGCUAAAUACUACCUAGUGACCGAUAGCGUAUAGUACCGUGAGGGAAAGGUGAAAAGAACCCCGGGAGGGGAGUGAAAUAGAACCUGAAACCCUGCACUUACAAGCUGUGGAAGCACAUUUCUUGUGUGACCGCGUACUUUUUGUAGAACGGGCCAACGAGUUACGUUAAGUAGCAAGGUUAAGCACUUAAGGUGCGGAGCCGUAGCGAAAGCGAGUUUUAACUGAGCGUUCAGUUACUUGACGUAGACCCGAAACCGGGCGACCUACCCAUGAGCAGGAUGAAGCGAAAGUAAAAUUUCGUGGAGGUCCGAACCCACGAGCGUUGAAAAGCUCGGGGAUGACUUGUGGGUAGCGGUGAAAUUCCAAUCGAGCCCGGAGAUAGCUGGUUCUCCCCGAAAUAGCUUUAGGGCUAGCCUCAAGGUGAGAGAUACGGAGGUAGAGCACUGAAUGUCCUAGGGGGUAUUGCACCUACCGAAGACUAUCAAACUCCGAAUGCCGUCAUCUUAUACUUGGGAGUCAGACUGUGGGUGAUAAGAUUCAUAGUCGAAAGGGCAACAGCCCAGAUCGUCAGCUAAGGUCCCUAAAUGUAAGUUAAGUGGUAAAGGAUGUGGGAUUGCACAGACAACCAGGAUGUUGGCUUAGAAGCAGCCACUCAUUCAAAGAGUGCGUAAUAGCUCACUGGUCGAGUGAUCCUGCGCCGAAGAUUUCCGGGGCUAAAACUUACUACCGAAGCUACGGCAUCAGUAAUGAUGGGUAGGGGAGCUUCCCAUACGGGUUGAAGCAUGACCGUAAGGACAUGUGGACAGUAUGGGAGUGAGAAUGUUGGCAUGAGUAGCGAGAUGUGGGUGAGAAUCCCACAGGCCGUAAACCCAAGGUUUCCAGGGGAAGGUUCGUCCGCCCUGGGUUAGUCGGGACCUAAGCUGAGGCCGAAAGGCGUAGGUGAUGGACAACAGGUUGAUAUUCCUGUACUACCGAUAACCAUUUGAGAGAAGGGAUGACACAGUAGGAUAAGCUAAGCACACUGUUGGUUAUGUGUGCCCAAGCAUUGAGGCAGUCAAAGUAGGCAAAUCCGCUUUGAUAAUGCUGGGAUGUGAUGGGGAGCGAAAUUUAGUAGCGAAGUAGCUGAUUUCACACUGUCAAGAAAAGUCUCUAUCGAGGUUAAAGGUACCCGUACCGCAAACCGACACAGGUGGGUGAGGAGAGUAUCCUAAGGCCAGCGAGAGAACUGUUGUUAAGGAACUCGGCAAAAUGACCCCGUAACUUAGGGAUAAGGGGUGCCACCAUCAGGUGGCCGCAGAGAAUAGGCCCAAGCGACUGUUUACCAAAAACAUAGGUUUCUGCUAAGUCGCAAGACGAUGUAUAGGAGCUGACGCCUGCCCGGUGCUGGAAGGUUAAGGGGAUCUGUUAGAGCAAUCGAAGCAGUGAACUUAAGCCCCAGUAAACGGCGGCCGUAACUAUAACGGUCCUAAGGUAGCGAAAUUCCUUGUCGGGUAAGUUCCGACCCGCACGAAAGGCGUAACGAUUUGGGCACUGUCUCAACAACAGACUCGGUGAAAUUGUAAUUCCGGUGAAGAUGCCGGAUACCUGCGACAGGACGGAAAGACCCCAUGGAGCUUUACUGUAGCUUGACAUUGGGUCUUGGUACUACAUGUACAGGAUAGGUGGGAGGCUUUGAAACCAGGACGCCAGUUUUGGCGGAGCCAUCCUUGGGAUACCACCCUUGUAGUACUGGGACUCUAACCAUAGGCCAUGAAUCUGGUCUUGGGACACUGUCAGGUGGGCAGUUUGACUGGGGCGGUCGCCUCCCAAAAGGUAACGGAGGCGCUCAAAGGUUCUCUCAGUACGGUCGGAAAUCGUACGUAGAGUGUAAAGGCAAAAGAGAGCUUGAUUGCAAGACAUACAGGUCGAGCAAGGAUGAAAAUCGGACUUAGUGAUCCGGUGGUUCUGCGUGGAAGGGCCAUCGCUCAACGGAUAAAAGCUACCCUGGGGAUAACAGGCUUAUCUCCCCCAAGAGUCCACAUCGACGGGGAGGUUUGGCACCUCGAUGUCGGCUCAUCACAUCCUGGGGCUGUAGUAGGUCCCAAGGGUUGGGCUGUUCGCCCAUUAAAGUGGUACGCGAGCUGGGUUCAGAACGUCGUGAGACAGUUCGGUCCCUAUCCGUCGCAGGCGUAGGAAAUUUGAGAAGACCUGUCCUUAGUACGAGAGGACCGGAUGGACGUACCUCUGGUGUACCAGUUGUC